rnacentral:rRNA from 1 species
CCUACGGGCGGCAGCAGUGGGGAAUAUUGGGCAAUGGGCGCAAGCCUGACCCAGCAACGCCGCGUGAAGGAAGAAGGCUUUCGGGUUGUAAACUUCUUUUCUCAGGGACGAAACAAGUGACGGUACCUGAGGAAUAAACCACGGCUAACUACGUGCCAGCAGCCGCGGUAAUACGUAGGCGGCAAGCGUUAUCCGGAUUUACUGGGUGUAAAGGGCGUGUAGGGGGGGACGGUAGUCAGGUGUGAAAACCACGGGGUCAACCUGUGGCCUGCAUUUGAAACUGUGUUUCUUGAGUACUGGAGAGGCAGACGGAAUUCCUAGUGUAGCGGUGAAAUGCGUAGAUAUUAGGAGGAACCCCAGUGGCGAAGGCGGUCUGCUGGACAGCAACUGACGCUGAGGCGCGAAAGCGUGGGGAGCAAACAGGAUUAGAUACCCGUGUAGUC